ACCAGUCAAUAGUCAUACUAAUCUUCUCUUUGCUUCAUCACCUAGAGCAUAUCGACAAGCUCAAGACCAAAGCAAAUGAUCAGUCACAAUUAUCUUCUCUUUCCUUUCACCUCGCCUAAAAUGGACAAGCUCAAUAAAUCAGUCAUUUUCUCAAGGGACCAAGAUGUAUUUCCAUAUCUCUUUAACAGAAAUGGUGUUAAGAUUUAUGCAUCUCGUCGAUCUUUAUAAGCUUAAUCUUCCAAAACGCCCCAUAUUUUCUCUGAUUUCACCUUGUUAAAGCCUUCGCCGUUUACUUCUUCACGUCGUUCCUGGUGGAUCCAUUUCGGAGAAUGCACUUGUUGAAGCACAUGAGGGAUCACAUAGGAGAGUUGGCAAAGAAAGAUAGAGGAAUGAUAUUUGAUGCCUUGGGGAUUGAUGUCCAAUUUGUUCCAAACAGAGGAUAUUAUUUAUUCAUGGUUUAGAUUAGCCUAUUUUUUAUUAUGCUUUAUUGAAUUGGAGAGAAGCAUUCGUAGCUUUUCAAUAAAGCAUGUUUUAUCCAAAGUAGAGUAUGAACUUAAAUGAAUUGAUCUUUCUUUAUUGAUUUACAUGAUAGUAUUCAGAGUUGUUUGAAAUUUGGAUAGAUUUGCAAACCUUUCUGUC